CAUCCGCCAUUUUGUGAGAAGCAAGGUGGCCUCCACGUUUCCCGAGCGUCUUCUUCCCUUCUGCCUCGACCGCCCCUUGACCACAGACAUGUCUCGGGAUCGGUUCCGGAGUCGUGGCGGUGGUGGUGGUGGCUUCCACAGGCGCGGAGGAGGCGGCAGCCACGGUGGCCUCAAUCAGAACCGCGGCUCCAUGGGUCCUGGCCCGGGCCAGAACGGCCCCAAGCCUCCCAUCCCGCCACCGCCUCCACACCAGCAGCAGCAGCAGCCGCCGCCACAUCCACAGCCGCAUCAGCGGCAGCAGCAGCCGCUCCACCGCGCAGGACUCUUCCAAGCCCGUCAUUGCUCAGGGACCCAGCCACGCUCCCGGAGUAGGCAGCACGCCGCCAGCCUCCAGCUAGGCCCGCCCACCACUCAGCCGACCUCGGGGACCCAGCCAGGGUCCGGGACAGGCCCGACCCCGACCCUGCCGCCCGCGGUCACCUCGGCCCCUCCCGGGGUACCGCCACCCACCCCGCCAAGUAGCGGGGUCCCUACCACACUUCCUCAGGCAGGAGGCGCGCCACCUCCGCCCGGCGGGCCCUGGCCCAGGUCCGGGGACUAAGCAGGGCCCAGGCCCGGGCGGUCCCAAAGGUGGCAAAAUGCCUGGCGGGUCAAAGCCAGGUGGCGGCCCGGGUCUAAGCACUCCUGGUGGCCACCGGAAGCCACCGCAUAGAGGCAGCGGCGAGCCUCGCGGGGCCACCAGCACCACCACCUACCACCAGCAGCACUACCAGGGGCCCCCGCCCGUUGGGCCCUGGGGCCGCAGCGAGGAGAAAAUCUCGGACUCGGAGGGGUUUAAAGCCAACUUGUCUCUCUUGAGGAGGCCUGGAGAGAAAACUUACACACAGAGAUGUCGGUUGUUUGUUGGGAAUCUACCUGCUGAUAUCACGGAAGAUGAAUUCAAAAGACUAUUCGCUAAAUAUGGAGAACCUGGAGAAGUUUUUAACCACAAAGGCAAAGGAUUCGGAUUUCUUAAGCUUGAGUCCAGAGCUUUGGCUGAAAUUGCCAAAGCUGAGCUCGAUGAUACGCCCAUGAGAGGUAGACAGCUUCGAGUUCGCUUUGCCACACAUGCUGCUGCCCUUUCUGUUCAUAAUCUUUCACCUUACGUUUCCAAUGAACUGUUGGAAGAAGCCUUCAGCCAGUUUGGUCCUAUUGAAAGGGCUGUUGUAAUAGUGGAUGAUCAUGGAAGAUCUACAGGGAAAGGCACUGUUGAAUUUGCUUCUAAACCAGCAGCAAGAAAGACAUUUGAACGAUGCAGUGAAGGUGUUUUCUUGCUGACAACAACUCCUCGUCCAGUCAUCGUGGAACCACUCGAAUAGAUGAUGAAGAUGGUCUUCCUGAAAAACUUGCACAGAAGAAUCCAAUGUAUCAAAAGGAGAGAGAAACUCCUCCUCGUUUUGCCCAGCAUGGCGCAUUUGAGUACGAAUAUUCUCAGCGAUGGAAGUCGUUGGAUGAAAUGGAAAAACAGCAAAGAGAACAAGUUCAAAAAAAUAUGAAGGAUGCAAAAGACAAAUUGGAAAGUGAAAUGGAAGAUGCCUAUCAUGAACAUCAGGCAAAUCUUUUGCGCCAAGAUCUGAUGAGACGACAGGAAGAAUUAAGACGCAUGGAAGAACUUCAUAAUCAAGAAAUGCAGAAACGUAAAGAAAUGCAAUUGAGGCAAGAGGAGGAACGACGUAGAAGAGAGGAAGAGAUGAUGAUUCGUAAGCGUGAGAUGGAAGAACAAAUGAGGCACCAAAGAGAUGAAAGUUAUGGCCGAAUGGGCUACACGGAUCCAAGAAAAAGAGACAUGAGAAUGGGUGGCGGAGGAGCAAUGAACAUGGGAGAUCCCUAUGGUUCAGGAGGCCAGAAAUUUCCACCUCUAGGUGGUGGUGGUGGCAUAGGUUAUGAAGCUAAUCCUGGAGUUUCACCAGCAACCAUGAGUGAUUCCAUGAUGGGAAGCGACAUGCGUACUGAGCGCUUCGGGCAGGGAGGUGCGGGGCCUGUGGGUGGACAGGGUCCUAGAGGAAUGGGGCCUGGAACUCCAGCAGGAUAUGGUAGAGGGAGAGAAGAGUACGAAGGCCCAAACAAAAAACCCCGAUUUUAGAUGUGAUAUCUAGGCUUUCAUUCCAGUUUGUUUUUGUCUUUUGUUUAGAUACCAAUCUUUUAAAUUCUUGCAUUUUAGUAAGAAAGCUACCUUUUUAUGGAUGUUAGUAGUUUAUUGACCUAAUAUUUGUAAAUGGUCUGUUUGGGCAGGUAAAAUUCGGUAACGCAGUUGUUUGAAACAGGAGAAUUUUUUUUUUCUUACUUCCUUAUUUUUUCUUUUUUUACAGUAUAAUGUCCUUCAAGUUAUGGCAGUGUACCUUGUGCCAUUGAAUUUCCAAAGUGUACCAAUUUUUUUUCUUUACUGUGCUUCAAAUAAAUAGAAAAAUAGUUAUAAUAUUGA